rnacentral:rRNA from 2 species
UAUCACUUACAGAUGGACCCGCGGCGCAUUAGCUAGUUGGUGAGGUAACGGCUCACCAAGGCGACGAUGCGUAGCCGACCUGAGAGGGUGAUCGGCCACACUGGGACUGAGACACGGCCCAGACUCCUACGGGAGGCAGCAGUAGGGAAUCUUCCGCAAUGGACGAAAGUCUGACGGAGCAACGCCGCGUGAACGAUGAAGGCCUUCGGGUCGUAAAGUUCUGUUGUUAGGGAAGAACAAGUACCAGAGUAACUGCUGGUACCUUGACGGUACCUAACCAGAAAGCCACGGCUAACUACGUGCCAGCAGCCGCGGUAAUACGUAGGUGGCAAGCGUUGUCCGGAAUUAUUGGGCGUAAAGCGCGCGCAGGCGGUUUCUUAAGUCUGAUGUGAAAGCCCACGGCUCAACCGUGGAGGGUCAUUGGAAACUGGGGAACUUGAGUGCAGAAGAGGAGAGUGGAAUUCCACGUGUAGCGGUGAAAUGCGUAGAGAUGUGGAGGAACACCAGUGGCGAAGGCGACUCUCUGGUCUGUAACUGACGCUGAGGCGCGAAAGCGUGGGGAGCGAACAGGAUUAGAUACCCUGGUAGUCCCACGCCGUAAACGAUGAGUGCUAAGUGUUAGAGGGUUUCCGCCCUUUAGUGCUGCAGCAAAACGC